UUAAAUUUAACCUGAUGUGACUAAUGGUGUGCCACUUAGCAUACCAAUUUGCUUGUCCACUGUGUGCCACGUUUGUAUUUUUUACGAAACUCAAGGUUUUUAAAAACUUUUCCAUCGCCACUCUCACGAUCUCGCCCCAACCAUCUUCUCCCUCCUCUUCCCCAUCGGCACCUAUGCCUCCGUCUCUUCCCCCUCCUCUUCUCCACCGACACCUUUGCC
rnacentral:lncRNA from 1 species